GACGAACGCUGGCGGCGUGCUUAACACAUGCAAGUCGAACGGUAAGGCCCUGCUUUUGCGGGGUGCUCGAGUGGCGAACGGGUGAGUAACACGUGAGUAACCUGCCCUUGACUUUGGGAUAACUUCAGGAAACUGGGGCUAAUACCGGAUAGGAGAUCCUGCUGCAUGGAGGGGGUUGGAAAGUUUCGGCGGCUGGGGAUGGACUCGCGGCUUAUCAGCUUGUUGGUGGGGUAGUGGCUUACCAAGGCUUUGACGGGUAGCCGGCCUGAGAGGGUGACCGGCCACAUUGGGACUGAGAUACGGCCCAGACUCCUACGGGGGGCAGCAGUGGGGAAUAUUGCACAAUGGGCGGAAGCCUGAUGCGGCAACGCCGCGGUCGGGAUGACGGCCUGCGGGUUGUAAACCGCUUUCGCCUGUGACGAAGCGUGAGUGACGGUAAUGGGUAAAGAAGCACCGGCUAACUACGUG
rnacentral:rRNA from 1 species